CCACAUGUCGAAUGAGACGUUAAGGUUGUUCCGUUUUUAUAUAUGUAUAAUAGAUUUAUAAAGAUUCAACCUACUCCCAAGUCGCCGACUUUAAGUUGCAUGUAGAUUCAGCCUACUACCAAGUCGCCGACUUUAAGUUGUAUGUAGACUCCCACCGCUCUGCCGUAAGCGAUGGUUCCUUUCCUUUAGAGCCGGCCCUCCUCGCGGUUUUCGAAUUGCCCAUGUCUUCCCUCGCGCCGGGACGAGCGUGGCGUCGGCCUUCUUAUUCUUCUUUGUGAUUCUAGAUCAGCACCGCCGUGGACGAGAACAGGAGGAGGAGGAGCUGCAGAAGCUGCCCUCAUCGCAGACAAAGCGAUCCGUCCUCACUUCCCUAGUGUCUUGCCCUUGCGCUGAAAUACCGUGAUGGUUCUUGUUGUUCUUUGCAGUUUUAUGGUUUUCCCAGGUGUUUAUGGUUCCAAAUAUUGAUGACUUCUACUCCUUUGCCCGAUUAAAAAGUUAGCGAAUGGGAGUCCUAUUAUGCUUUUCUUUUGCCUCUUUUUUUGGGUUGUGUGUGCGUGUGUGUCUAAGGAUAUUUCUACUAUAAUUUUGUAACUUUGAAAUAACCAUCCUUCCUCUAAAUUCUAAUAGGUUCCAUGCAGUUAAAAUGUUUGUUGCAGGAUGGCAAGUGAGGAGUAUCAGUAUAGUCAGUCGAAUAGGUUGUUAAAAAAUUCUAAUAGGUUGUUUUUGGCACAUGGUUUUUUGAAUUCUUGCAGAUACAGAGCUCUAGAAUUUUGUUUCACUAACUGGACAUUUUUUUGGUAUAUUUAUUUAUGCAUCAGUGACAAUAGAUGCAUUUG